UGGCGCUCGCCCGCCCCGAGAUCGGCAGGGUGGAGUCGGGCCGCAAUGGCGUCACCGCCUGGGUGGGUCCGGCAUCCGGCGGACCGGCGCCACCGGCCCCCGCUCGGGUUGCGCGCGCGGGGUGCGGUUCAAAACCUCCACAGGAACCAGCCUCCUGUUACAGCCCUCGGAGCUCAGAGGAACACCAGUUAAAGACCUUGCUCUCAGUCCUCUGCAUGCUCUUUCUGGACUACAGAUACUGACUAUGCAUGGGAAGACCCUGGAAAGAUCUGAGAGGAGCAGACAUGUUCUCCCAACGAGGACAGGACCAUCACCCCUUCCUGGGAUGCCCACUGUCCAUCUGUCCUCUGGUGAAAGGGCCUGACCCUCUCAGGCCAGCUCUCUAGUCUCCUGAAGGACCUCACACCCAGGAAAGCCACCUGGAAGGCUGAUAGCCUCCUUUAAGAAAAAACACAGGCUGCACUCGAAGCUCAGCAUCGUCAUUAACUGUAAAUCAUUAGAGACAACCUAUCCGGUUCUUGAACACCUCUUUCCAAUGUCCACGAAUUUCUCCAGUAAACUUCCUUUGAUAUAAGUGACUUCAAUACCAGUGAUCUCAUAAUCAUUUGAGAAAAGAAGACUAGAGAUUGGGAAAAAAGAGUGGAAGAUGGGAAAAGUGUGGUAUCUUGAAAUACUGAUUUUUUUUUUUUAACUAGAGCUCCAAGUGAUUUGUCGGGUUCAGGGUGGCCCAUAGCUCUGACUGCUUUUCAUCACAUUGACUUCUAAAUUAAAAAUAAAAACCUGUAUCCCUA